rnacentral:rRNA from 1 species
UAAGGAACUCGGCAAAAUGACUCCGUAACUUCGGGAGAAGGAGUGCCUUAUUCGUAAGGCUGCAAUAACAAGAUCCAAGCAACUGUUUAUCAAAAACACAGGUCUCCGCGAAGUCGAAAGACAAUGUAUGGGGGCUGACGCCUGCCCAGUGCCGGAAGGUUAAAGAAGCUGGUUAGCAGUAGCGAAGCUAGUGACUGAAGCCCCGGUGAACGGCGGCCGUAACAAUAACGGUCCUAAGGUAGCGA